rnacentral:rRNA from 1 species
AUUGAACGCUGGCGGCAGGCUUAACACAUGCAAGUCGAGCGAGCGGCGGACGGGUGAGUAAUGUCUGGGAAACUGCCUGAUGGAGGGGGAUAACUACUGGAAACGGUAGCUAAUACCGCAUACCAUCAGAUGUGCCCAGAUGGGAUUAGCUAGUAGGUGGGGUAAUGGCUCACCUAGGCGACGAUCCCUAGCUGGUCUGAGAGGAUGACAAGCCACAAUGGAACUGAGACACGGUCCAGAAUCCGACGGGAGGCAGAAGGGGGGAAUAUUGCACAAUGGGCGCAAGCCUGAUGGAGCCAGGCCGCGUGUAUGAAGAAGGCCUUCGGGUUGUAAAGCACUUUCAGCGAGGAGGCGUUACUCGCAGAAGAAGCAACGGCUAACUCCGUGCCAACAGCCGCGGUAAUUC